rnacentral:misc_RNA from 1 species
CGCACAUUGCGCCCUUUGGUAUUCCGGGGGGCAUGCCUGUUCGAGCGUCAUUAUUAGAUCUCACCUCGGGUGGAUGUUAGGCUUUAAACCGUAGCAAGUUGUGCCUAAAAAUUAACCUUGGGGAGUACUGCCGCCCUAUAUAUUGUGGAUUAUUCAUAUGGUGGUUGGUGGUCUUACCCACGUGCUCAGCGUGCAAGUUUUGGCUCGCAUCAUCAAUUGACCUCGGAUCAGGUAGGGAUACCCGCUGAACUUAA